AUCGCUUCUCGGCCUUUUGGCUAAGAUUAUGUGUAGUAUCUGUUCUUACCAGUUUAAAAAAUCUGGUCAUAAAGCUAGUAUUUGAUCAAAACACUAAAGUCACUUGUCUUUUGCUCAUAUCUGCAACAAUACAUUAAAUCUCACAGAUAUUAUUGAUUUGACACUGUAAAGCCAUAUUUUGCUACCCUCUG